ensembl:miRNA
CAGACCAGCAUCUGCUCCCUUUGCUGCACUGAAGAUGCAGUGAGGUGACCACCCUCAGAUGCUCGGCAGGGCAGGCAGCAAAGCUGCAGCACAACACAGGUCCCCAUCAG